rnacentral:rRNA from 1 species
AAUAGAUACCCAGGUAGUCCACGCCGUAAACGAUGAGUACUAGCUGUCGGAGGUUACCCCCUUCGGUGGCGCAGCUAACGCAUUAAGUACUCCGCCUGGGAAGUACGCUCGCAAGAGUGAAACUCAAAGGGGAUUGACGGGGACCCGCACAAGUAGCGGAGCAUGUGGUUUAAUUCGAAGCAACGCGAAGAACCUUACCUAAGCUUGACAUCCUUUUGACCGAUGCCUAAUCGCAUUUUUCCCUUCGGGGACUAGAAGUGACAGGUGGUGCAUGGUUGUCGUCAGCUCGUGUCGUGAGAUGUUGGGUUAAGUCCCGCAACGAGCGCAACCCUUGCCUUUAGUUGCCAGCAUUAAGUUGGGCACUCUAGAGGGACUGCCAGGGGAUAACCGUGGAGGAAGGUGGGGAUGACGUCAAAUCAUCAUGCCCCUUAUGCUUAGGGCUACACACGUGCUACAAUGGGUGGUACAGAGGGCAGCCAAGUCGUGAGGCGGAGCUAAUCCCUUAAAGCCAUUCUCAGUUCGGAUUGUAGGCUGAAACUCG